rnacentral:rRNA from 1 species
UACGUAGGGGGCUAGCGUUGUCCGGAAUCAUUGGGCGUAAAGCGCGUGUAGGCGGUCCGGUAAGUCCGCUGUGAAAGUCGGGGGGCUCAACCCUCGGAUGCCGGUGGAUACUGUCGGGCUUGAGUACGGAAGAGGCGAGUGGAAUUCCUGGUGUAGCGGUGAAAUGCGCAGAUAUCAGGAGGAACACCAAUUGCGAAGGCAGCUCCGCUGGGACGUUACUGACGCUGAGACGCGAAAGCGUGGGGAGCAAACAGG